GAAACACUCUGCCUCUCUAUCCUCCAUUGCUGCAAUUAUUUCUCACCUUAAGCUAAGCACACUCAUUUCCCCAUUGAAGAAGGGAGAAGCUCAAGGGAACAUUGGUGUAGAGGUUCAAGAGAAGCUUGUACGAGCAUGAUCUCAAGAAUUUAGCACUUUGGUGAUCAAGUGAAAGCAAGAUUGUCCAGGUAAAUGAACAUGGAAGUCGGGGCAGAUCCUAUGUGGCUUUGGCAUGUGUAUUGGGUGAGGACUAAAG